UACGGAGGGUGCAAGCAUUAAUCGGAUUUAUUGGGCGUAAAGGGCGCGUAGGCGGGUAUGUAAGUCAGAUGUGAAGUCUCGGAGCUCAACUCCGAAACGGCAUUUGAAACUACAUGUCUAGAGGGUAGAUGGAGAAAAUAGAAUUCCACAAGUAGCGGUGAAAUGCGUAGAUAUGUGGAAGAAUACCAGUGGCGAAGGCGAUUUUCUAAUUUAUACCUGACGCUGAGGCGCGAAAGCAAGAGGAUCAAACAGG
rnacentral:rRNA from 1 species